rnacentral:rRNA from 1 species
GACAGAGGGUGCGAGCGUUAAUCGGAAUUACUGGGCGUAAAGGGCGCGUAGGCGGUGAUACAAGUCAGUUGUGAAAUGUCUGGGCUUAACCUAGGACUUGCAGCUGAGACGGUAUGACUAGAGAGCAGUAGAGGGUAGCGGAAUUUCCGGUGUAGCGGUGAAAUGCGUAGAUAUCGGAAGGAACACCGGUGGCGAAGGCGGCUAUCUGGACUGCAACUGACGCUGAGGCGCGAGAGCGUGGGGAGCAAACAGG